GUUAUAGGAUCAAGCGAAUAAGUGCAUGUGGUGGAUGCCUUGGCGAUCACAGGCGAUGAAGGACGUGUAAGCCUGCGAAAAGCUUCGGGGAGCUGGCAAUAAAGCUUUGAUCCGAAGAUGUCCGAAUGGGGAAACCCACUCCGCAAGGAGUAUCCCGUACUGAAUACAUAGGUACGAGGAAGCGAACCCGGUGAACUGAAACAUCUAAGUAGCCGGAGGAAAAGAAAUCAACCGAGAUUCCCAAAGUAGUGGCGAGCGAAAUGGGAACAGCCUGCAAGUGAUAACCGAUUUGUUAGUGGAACGCUCUGGAAAGUGCGACCGUAGUGGGUGAUAGUCCCGUACGCGAAAACAAAACGGUGGUACUAAGUUUGCGACAAGUAGGGCGGGGCACGUGAAACCCUGUCUGAACAUGGGGGGACCAUCCUCCAAGGCUAAAUACUCGUGAUCGACCGAUAGUGAACCAGUACCGUGAGGGAAAGGCGAAAAGAACCCCGGGAGGGGAGUGAAAUAGAUCCUGAAACCGCAUGCAUACAAACAGUGGGAGCCCCUUCGGGGGUGACUGCGUACCUUUUGUAUAAUGGGUCAGCGACUUACGUUCAGUAGCGAGCUUAACCGAAUAGGGGAGGCGUAGGGAAACCGAGUCUGAUAAGGGCGAUUAGUUGCUGGGCGUAGACCCGAAACCGGAUGAUCUAUCCAUGGCCAGGAUGAAGGUGCCGUAACAGGUACUGGAGGUCCGAACCCACUAACGUUGAAAAGUUAGGGGAUGAGCUGUGGAUAGGGGUGAAAGGCUAAACAAAUCCGGAAAUAGCUGGUUCUCUCCGAAAACUAUUUAGGUAGUGCCUCAAGUAUCACCUGCGGGGGUAAAGCACUGUAAUGGUUGAAGGGGUCAUCGCGACUUACUUCGCCAUAGCAAACUCUGAAUACCGCAGAGUGCGAGCUUGGGAGACAGACAUCGGGUGCUAACGUCCGGUGUCAAGAGGGAAACAACCCAGACCGCCGAUUAAGGUCCCAAAGCCAUAGUUAAGUGGGAAACGAGGUGGGAAGGCUUAGACAGCCAGGAGGUUGGCUUAGAAGCAGCCAUCCUUUAAAGAAAGCGUAAUAGCUCACUGGUCGAGUCGUCCUGCGCGGAAGAUGUAACGGGGCUCAAACUAUGCACCGAAAUCGCGGAUAUGUACUUGUACAUAUGGUAGGAGAGCGUUCUGUAGGCCGUUGAAGGUGUCUUGAGAAGGAUGCUGGAGGUAUCAGAAGUGCGAAUGCUGACAUGAGUAGCGAUAAAGGGAGUGAAAUGCUCCCUCGCCGAAAGCCCAAGGUUUCCUGCGCAACGUUCAUCGGCGCAGGGUGAGUCGGCCCCUAAGGCGAGGCUGAAAAGCGUAGUCGAUGGGAAACAGGUCAAUAUUCCUGUACCUCUUUGUAAUGCGAUGGGGGGACGGAGAAGGUUAGGUCAUCCGGGUGUUGGACGUCCCGGUUCAAGCGUGUAGGGAGGUCUUCCAGGCAAAUCCGGGAGAUCAAUUCUGAGGCGUGAUAACGAGUGGUCUUUGACCGCGAAGUGAUUGAUACCAUGCUUCCAAGAAAAGCCUCUAAGCUUCAGUUACAAGGAGACCGUACCGCAAACCGACACAGGUGGGCAGGAUGAGAAUUCUAAGGCGCUUGAGAGAACUCAGGAGAAGGAACUCGGCAAAUUUGCACCGUAACUUCGGGAUAAGGUGCGCCCCGAUAGGUUGAAGCCCCUCGCGGGUGGAGGCUGAAGGGGUUGCAGUGAAAUGGUGGCUGCGACUGUUUAAUAAAAACAUAGCACUCUGCAAACACGAAAGUGGACGUAUAGGGUGUGACGCCUGCCCGGUGCCGGAAGGUUAAGUGAUGGGGUGCAAGCUCUUGAUCGAAGCCCCGGUAAACGGCGGCCGUAACUAUAACGGUCCUAAGGUAGCGAAAUUCCUUGUCGGGUAAGUUCCGACCUGCACGAAUGGCGUAACGAUGGCCACACUGUCUCCUCCUGAGACUCAGCGAAGUUGAAGUGAUUGUGAAGAUGCAAUCUCCCCGCGGUUAGACGGAAAGACCCCAUGAACCUUUACUGUAGCUUUGCAUUGGACUUUGAACCGAUUUGUGUAGGAUAGGUGGGAGGCUGUGAAACUGGGACGCUAGUUCUGGUGGAGCCAACCUUGAAAUACCACCCUGGUUUGUUUGAGGUUCUAACCAUGGCCCGUGAAUCCGGGUCUGGGACCGUGCAUGGUAGGCAGUUUGACUGGGGCGGUCUCCUCCUAAAGUGUAACGGAGGAGUACGAAGGUACGCUAGGUACGGUCGGACAUCGUGCUGAUAGUGCAAUGGCAUAAGCGUGCUUGACUGCGAGACUCACACGUCGAGCAGGUACGAAAGUAGGUCAUAGUGAUCCGGUGGUUCUGUAUGGAAGGGCCAUCGCUCAACGGAUAAAAGGUACUCUGGGGAUAACAGGCUGAUACCGCCCAAGAGUUCAUAUCGACGGCGGUGUUUGGCACCUCGAUGUCGGCUCAUCUCAUCCUGGGGCUGUAGCCGGUCCCAAGGGUAUGGCUGUUCGCCAUUUAAAGAGGUACGUGAGCUGGGUUUAAAACGUCGUGAGACAGUUUGGUCCCUAUCUGCCGUGGGCGCUGGAAAUUUGAGGGGGCCUGCUCCUAGUACGAGAGGACCGGAGUGGACGAACCUCUGGUGUACCGGUUAUGACGCCAGUCGUAUCGCCGGGUAGCUAAGUUCGGAAGAGAUAAACGCUGAAAGCAUCUAAGCGUGAAACUCGCCUCAAGAUAAGAUUUCCCUCGGGACUUGAUCCCGCUAAAGGGUCGUUGAAGACCACAACGUUGAUAGGCUGGGUGUGGAAGCGCAGUAAUGCGUUAAGCUAACCAGUACUAAUUGCCCGUGCGGCUUGAUCCUAUAACCUU
rnacentral:rRNA from 1 species